rnacentral:tRNA from 1 species
UUCCUGGUGGCUCAGAUGGUAAAGCGUCUGACUACAAUGCAGGAAACCCAGGUUCGAUCCCUGGGUUGGGAA